rnacentral:rRNA from 1 species
UGCUACGAAAGGGCACUCUAAUGGGACUGCCGGUGACAAACCGGGGGAAGGUGGGGAUGACGUCAAGUCCUCAUGGCCCUUAUAGGUGGGGCUAGAAACGUCAUACAAUGGCCGGUACAAAGGGUCGCGAAGCCGCGAGGUGGAGCCAAUCCCAUAAAGCCGGUCGUAGUCCGGAUCGCAGUCUGCAACUCGCCUGCGUGAAGUCGGAAUCGCUAGUAAUCGUGGAUCAGCAUGUCACGGUGAAUACGUUCCCGGGUCUUGUACACACCGCCCGUCACACCAUGGGAGCGGGUCUCGCCAGAAGUAGGUAGCCUAACCGCAAGGAGGGCGCUUACCACGGCGGGGUUCGUGACUGGGGUGAAGUCGUAACAAGGUAGC